rnacentral:rRNA from 1 species
UGCGUAGGCGGACUCAUAAGUCAGUGGUGAAAUCUUGCAGCUUAACUGUAAAACUGCCAUUGAUACUGUUAGUCUUGAAUUUAGUUGAGGUAGGCGGAAUGUAUUGUGUAGCGGUGAAAUGCAUAGAUAUAAUACAGAACACCGAUUGCGAAGGCAGCUUACUAAGCUAUAAUUGACGCUGAUGCACGAAAGCGUGGGGAGCGAACGGGAUUAGAUACCCUGGUAGUCC